CCUACGGGGGGCUGCAGUGGGGAAUAUUGCACAAUGGGCGCAAGCCUGAUGCAGCCAUGCCGCGUGUGUGAAGAAGGCCUUCGGGUUGUAAAGCACUCUCAGCGGGGAGGAAGGCGGUGAGGUUAAUAACCUCAUCGAUUGACGUUACCCGCAGAAGAAGCACCGGCUAACUCCGUGCCAGCAGCCGCGGUAAUACGGAGGGUGCAAGCGUUAAUCGGAAUUACUGGGCGUAAAGCGCACGCAGGCGGUCUGUCAAGUCGGAUGUGAAAUCCCCGGGCUCAACCUGGGAACUGCAUUCGAAACUGGCAGGCUAGAGUCUUGUAGAGGGGGGUAGAAUUCCAGGUGUAGCGGUGAAACGCGUAGAGAUCUGGAGGAAUACCGGUGGCGAAGGCGGCCCCCUGGACAAAGACUGACGCUCAGGUGCGAAAGCGUGGGGAGCAAACAGGAUUAGAUACCCGGGUAGUC
rnacentral:rRNA from 1 species